rnacentral:rRNA from 1 species
ACGCUGGCGGCGUGCUUAACACAUGCAAGUCGAACGAUGAAGCCUAGCUUGCUAGGUGGAUUAGUGGCGAACGGGUGAGUAAUACGUGAGUAACCUACCUUCAACUCUGGGAUAAGCCUGGGAAACUGGGUCUAAUACCGGAUACGACCAAUCUCCGCAUGGGGUGUUGGUGGAAAGCGUUAUGUAGUGGUUAUAGAUGGGCUCACGGCCUAUCAGCUUGUUGGUGAGGUAACGGCUCACCAAGGCGACGACGGGUAGCCGGCCUGAGAGGGUGACCGGCCACACUGGGACUGAGACACGGCCCAGACUCCUACGGGAGGCAGCAGUGGGGAAUAUUGCACAAUGGGCGCAAGCCUGAUGCAGCGACGCCGCGUGAGGGAUGACGGCCUUCGGGUUGUAAACCUCUGUUAGCAGGGAAGAAGAGAGAUUGACGGUACCUGCAGAGAAAGCGCCGGCUAACUACGUGCCAGCAGCCGCGGUAAUACGUAGGGCGCGAGCGUUGUCCGGAAUUAUUGGGCGUAAAGAGCUUGUAGGCGGUUUGUCGCGUCUGCUGUGAAAGGCCGGAGCUUAACUCCGUGUAUUGCAGUGGGUACGGGCAGACUAGAGUGCAGUAGGGGAGACUGGAAUUCCUGGUGUAGCGGUGGAAUGCGCAGAUAUCAGGAGGGACACCGAUGGCGAAGGCAGGUCUCUGGGGCUGUAACUGACGCUGAGAAGCGAAAGCAUGGGGAGCGAACAGGAUUAGAUACCCUGGUAGUCCAUGCCGUAAACGUUGGGCACUAGGUGUGGGGGACAUUCCACGUUUUCCGCGCCGUAGCUAACGCAUUAAGUGCCCCGCCUGGGGAGUACGGCCGCAAGGCUAAAACUCAAAGAAAUUGACGGGGGCCCGCACAAGCGGCGGAGCAUGCGGAUUAAUUCGAUGC